AUGCACCAUACAUUCGAACCCAUCCUGCGCUACGCCACUCCUGAUUGUACCUUGCAGAUCUUCUACAUCCGAGUCACCGAGAUCAGCAAAGAUGGUCUCCAGUGGUCUCUGCGUGUCCAUGGAUUGGUUGCUGCCAGGGACUCCGUAGAUCACAAUCGCAACUUCCUCUUCAAUCGCACUAGGGAUGACUGCCAAACCCUCACCCAAGAAGAUCCAUGGUUGAUGUUAACCGGCCCAUCUCGUGCGCUCGUGUUAAUUGACCCGAUUGCGUUUGAAGUUCAGCUAAAAGUAAAGAGCAAAACAGAGCCUGGAAAGGAUGAACUGUUGGCUUCCAAAGUUUUCAGCUACUACAAAGCUUUUCAUUCUGAUGAGGUGGUAUCUACACGCGUCACCUGUAAGCGCUGCACGCUUGAGUUUGCAUAUGCGCCGCUGCUUCCUUCAGUCGAGGCCACUGUCACUGUCCAAGUUAUUGAUGGGUCAUGGGACGACCAUGUUCAAGGAGUUGUUACUUGCCGCACUGCCAGCAUGGAAAAUGGGGAGAUGGUGUUGCUUGCUUCUCGAGAUGGAAAAACGCCUGUCAACUCGCGGAUGGUGUGA
rnacentral:rRNA from 1 species